GUUCCUGCAAAAAUCCAAUAAUGACCUUUGACAUUAGAAGCCUUUAUUUUGGAAGCGCUUACUGAUACUAUUUGGUCUUUAGCCCAAAUAAAUUGUCAAAUAUACAUGGGAAAAUUGGAUGUAGUAAAUGAACUGGGACAUGUUGACUGAGUGAUCACCAACUCAGUUCUUAAUCAACAAUUCUGUAGGGCUCUGAGAAGUGAAAUAAAACAAUGUACUAUUAUACUUACGAUUAAGUGGAUCCAAUACAAUGCUAUGAGAUUUGUGUUUGCCUAUGCCAAAAUCAGGGUCAUAACCUUGUUGAUCAUUUAUCACCGAAGAUGACUGUGCAACACCAAAAAGAGCCUUCAUUAGCUCACUACUUCAGAGUAAUGAACAAGCUUACAUUUUCAUUUGGAGCUAGGAUUUCUGGUCCUUUUAGGCUUUGGCAUUUAUCAUCUGUAGGAGGAAUGCACAAGUUGGAAGCUUGUUCAGGUUGACUUUGUAGUUCUUCCACCAUGUUUGGUUGUCGUGUGCUUGAUACUGAUUUGUUGGAUUUUUUAAUGCCUGCCUCUGCUUCUUUGGACCUGUUGGAUCUGACUCGCUCUUCUUCCUUGGAUUGACCAAGUCUGUUAUGCCUUUUCUGCUUCACUUCUUGCAACAUGGAAGUCUGAUGUUUCAGUGGGCUUGCCAAGUUGUGAGGAUUUCCACUUCUUCUUGUCGGUAGUUCAUCAAUCUUUCGAGGAGCCAUAGCUUUUUGAACUUUUGUAACUUUUACUUUCUGCACAGCUGUUAGAUGAACAGGUUUCUCUUCCAUUACUGGUGGAAUGGUGGUUAUAUUUUUUUCUUUCAUUACUUCA